GUUUUAGUAGUUUAUCAAAAUACUGGUCUUGUAAACCAGAGUAGAGUAAUUACUCCUUAAACU
rnacentral:tRNA from 1 species